CCACUGAUCUGCAGGAUUCAGGAGUGAAGCUGCUCUCUGCUGGACUGGGGAGUCCACACUGUACACUGGAAACUCUCAGCCUCAAUGGCUGUCAUCUGUCUGAGAGAUGCUGUGAAGCUCUGGCCUCAGUUCUCAGCUCCAAGUCCUCUAGUCUGAAAAAGCUGGAGCUGAGUACCAAUCAUCUGAAGGAUUCAGGAGUGAAGCUGCUCUCUGCUGGACUGGGGAGUCCACACUGUACACUGGAAACUCUCAGCUUGUCUGGCUGCCUGGUCACACAGGAAGGCUGUGCUUCUUUGGCCUCAGCUCUGAGCUCC